GGCCCUACCAAAUCCAUGGCCCAUUUUGGUCAACUCUAUAGUCAUAGGAUUUUAAAAAUCAUAAAUUUCAGAAUUUAAGCUAUGUACAU